rnacentral:rRNA from 1 species
AGAGUUUGAUUAUGGCUCAGGAUGAACGCUAGCUACAGGCUUAACACAUGCAAGUCGAGGGGCAGCAUUGGAGUAGCAAUACUUCAGAUGGCGACCGGCGCACGGGUGAGUAACACAUAUCCAACCUGCCGCUUACUCGGGGAUAGCCUUUCGAAAGAAAGAUUAAUACCCGAUGGUAUAAAGAGUUCGCAUGUUCUCUUUAUUAAAGAAUUUCGGUAAGCGAUGGGGAUGCGUUCCAUUAGAUAGUUGGCGGGGUAACGGCCCACCAAGUCUACGAUGGAUAGGGGUUCUGAGAGGAAGGUCCCCCACAUUGGAACUGAGACACGGUCCAAACUCCUACGGGAGGCAGCAGUGAGGAAUAUUGGUCAAUGGACGAGAGUCUGAACCAGCCAAAGUAGCGUGAAGGAUGACUGCCCUAUGGGUUGUAAACUUCUUUUAUAAGGGAAUAAAGUGAGGGACGUGUCCCUUUUUGUAUGUACCUUAUGAAUAAGGAUCGGCUAACUCCGUGCCAGCCGCCGC